rnacentral:rRNA from 1 species
UGACGUUAGCGGCGGACGGGUGAGUAACACGUAGGUAACCUACCUAUAAGACUGGGAUAACUUCGGGAAACCGGAGCUAAUACCGGAUAAUAUUUCGAACCGCAUGGUUCGAUAGUGAAAGAUGGCUUUGCUAUCACUUAUAGAUGGACCUGCGCCGUAUUAGCUAGUUGGUAAGGUAACGGCUUACCAAGGCAACGAUACGUAGCCGACCUGAGAGGGUGAUCGGCCACACUGGAACUGAGACACGGUCCAGACUCCUACGGGAGGCAGCAGUAGGGAAUCUUCCGCAAUGGGCGAAAGCCUGACGGAGCAACGCCGCGUGAGUGAUGAAGGUCUUCGGAUCGUAAAACUCUGUUAUUAGGGAAGAACAAACGUGUAAGUAACUGUGCACGUCUUGACGGUACCUAAUCAGAAAGCCACGGCUAACUACGUGCCAGCAGCCGCGGUAAUACGUAGGUGGCAAGCGUUAUCCGGAAUUAUUGGGCGUAAAGCGCGCGUAGGCGGUUUUUUAAGUCUGAUGUGAAAGCCCACGGCUCAACCGUGGAGGGUCAUUGGAAACUGGAAAACUUGAGUGCAGAAGAGGAAAGUGGAAUUCCAUGUGUAGCGGUGAAAUGCGCAGAGAUAUGGAGGAACACCAGUGGCGAAGGCGACUUUCUGGUCUGUAACUGACGCUGAUGUGCGAAAGCGUGGGGAUCAAACAGGAUUAGAUACCCUGGUAGUCCACGCCGUAAACGAUGAGUGCUAAGUGUUAGGGGGUUUCCGCCCCUUAGUGCUGCAGCUAACGCAUUAAGC